ACCAGACUCCUACGGGAGGCAGCAGUGGGGAAUAUUGGGCAAUGGGCGCAAGCCUGACCCAGCAACGCCGCGUGAAGGAAGAAGGCUUUCGGGUUGUAAACUUCUUUUCUCAGGGACGAAGAAAGUGACGGUACCUGAGGAAUAAGCCACGGCUAACUACGUGCCAGCAGCCGCGGUAAUACGUAGGGGGCAAGCGUUAUCCGGAUUUACUGGGUGUAAAGGGGGCGCAGACGGCGAUGCAAGCCAGGAGUGAAAGCCCGGGGCCCAACCCCGGGACUGCUCUUGGAACUGCGUGGCUGGAGUGCGGGAGGGGCAGGCGGAAUUCCUGGUGUAGCGGUGAAAUGCGUAGAUAUCAGGAGGAACACCGGUGGCGAAGGCGGCCUGCUGGACUGCAGCUGACGUUGAGGCCCGAAAGCGUGGGGAGCAAACAGGAUUAGAUACCCUAGUACC
rnacentral:rRNA from 1 species